rfam:Pterocles gutturalis contig8418, whole genome shotgun sequence.
CCAAAGGCUCUUUUCAGAGCCACCUACAGUUUCCCAGAAAAGAGUU